rnacentral:rRNA from 1 species
UACGUAGGGGGCAAGCGUUGUCCGGAUUUAUUGGGCGUAAAGAGCGUGUAGGCGGCCAGGUAGGUCUGCUGUGAAAACUCGAGGCUCAACCUCGAGACGUCGGCGGAAACCAUCUGGCUAGAGCCCGGAAGAGGAGAGUGGAAUUCCUGGUGUAGCGGUGAAAUGCGCAGAUAUCAGGAAGAACACCCGUGGCGAAGGCGGCUCUCUGGGACGGUACUGACGCUGAGACGCGAAAGCGUGGGGAGCGAACAGG